UUACACAUGAUGAGACAAUAAUUAUAAGUGGGGCACUAGAUUUAACUGAGAAGACAGCUGAGGAGGCUAUGACACCCAUUGAAUCAACGUUUUCCUUAGAUGUCAAUUCAAAGUUGGACUGGGAGGCUAUGGGAAAAGUUCUUGCUCAGGGGCAUAGUCGAGUUCCUGUCUAUUCUGGGAAUCCGAAGAAUGUUAUUGGACUGCUUCUGGUGGGUGCUAGAAUAGUAGAAUGUGAAUGUUUAGAAGAUGUUUGUAUACUAGAUGCAUUUUAAAUUUGACUUAUCAAAGGAACUAACAGCGGGCAACAUACUUUGUACUCUGCUCUUUAACUUGUUCAAUUCUGCUUAUUGUUAGGUGAAAAGUCUUC